AAACUCAAAGGAAUUGACGGGGGCCCGCACAAGCGGUGGAUUAUGUGGUUUAAUUCGAAGCAACGCGAAGAACCUUACCAGGACUUGACAUCCUACUAACGAGGUAGAGAUACGUCAGGUGCCCUUCGGGGAAAGUAGAGACAGGUGGUGCAUGGUUGUCGUCAGCUCGUGUCGUGAGAUGUUGGGUUAAGUCCCGCAACGAGCGCAACCCUUAUUGUUAGUUGCUACGCAAGAGCACUCUAGCGAGACUGCCGUUGACAAAACGGAGGAAGGUGGGGACGACGUCAAAUCAUCAUGCCCCUUAUGUCCUGGGCUACACACGUAAUACAAUGGCGGUCAACAGAGGGAUGCAAAGCCGUGAGGUGGAGCGAACCCCUAAAAGCCGUCUCAGUUCGGAUCGCAGGCUGCAACUCGCCUGCGUGAAGUCGGAAUCGCUAGUAAUCGCGGAUCAGAAUGCCGCGGUGAAUACGUUCCCGGGCCUUGUACACACCGCCCGUCACACCAUGAGAGUCGGGAACACCCGAAGUCCGUAGCCUAACAGCAAUGAGGGCGCGGCCGAAGGUGGGUUCGAUAAUUGGGGUGAAGUCGUAACAAGGUAGCCGUAUCGGAAGGUGCGGCUGGAUCACCUCCUUUAUG
rnacentral:rRNA from 1 species